UACGUAGGGGGCAAGCGUUGUCCGGAAUCAUUGGGCGUAAAGCGCGCGUAGGCGGCUUGGUAAGUCCGCUCUGAAAGCCCGGGGCUCAACCCCGGGAGGCGGGUGGAUACUGUCAAGCUUGAGUCCGGAAGAGGCGAGUGGAAUUCCUGGUGUAGCGGUGAAAUGCGCAGAUAUCAGGAGGAACACCAAUGGCGAAGGCAGCUCGCUGGGACGUGACUGACGCUGAGAUGCGAAAGCGUGGGGAGCAAACAGG
rnacentral:rRNA from 1 species